rnacentral:rRNA from 1 species
GGUGUAGGCGGCUCUAUAAGUCAGGAGUGAAAGCCCCGAGCUCAACUCGGGAAGUGCUUUUGAUACUGCAGAGCUUGAAUGUGGGAGAGGGUAGUGGAAUUCCAGGUGUAGUGGUGAAAUACGUAGAUAUCUGGAGGAACACCGGUGGCGAAGGCGGCUACCUGGCCCAACAUUGACGCUGAGACCCGAAAGCGUGGGGAUCAAACA